CAGAGACAGUGGAAGUUACAGAGACAGAAGAACACAAGACAAAACAGGAUGUCUCUCCAUGUUGUUCUGUGACACAGAAAGGACAUCUUAGCUCCAAUCCAAUCAACUUUUAUUCCUUUGGAAGCGUACAGAGUUGGCAGGCCUUUUGAGCCAGUUGUACAGUUAUACCACUGACCUUCCAAUUACAGGCAGGGGCUGAUGGUCCACUCUACUACAGCAAUUCAGUCAGACUACAUCAGUCAUUCAUUUCAUUUCACUCAUCAGAUAGUUUUGUACUGUCAGAAUAAAUAGUCUGGUUAACAAUAACAAAGACAACUUCAGAAAGGUACAAAACAGCUAUAGAGCACUGAAUAUACUGUAUGUUUACAAUUGUAAGCAUAGAAGACUUCACUUAAUAUAAGUUACUGUAGUUUUGUUAUGUCCCGAAGCCCAGUUUACAGUAAAUAUGUAGUGUAGUGUGACCUUUGAUUCUAUUCGAAGGCAUGUCAUGAUGUAAUGACAGAAGAGUAAGGUGCCUAGUACUUGGUUUGGUCUGUGGUACACUGUGUCUGUGUGGGGGGUGGGGGCGGGCAAGGACGAAGGAUGAGUACCCCGCUGGCCCCAUAUAAGAACACAAACACAUGGGUGCAUGACAUCCCACCCGGCGUACAGACACAGCCCAUGUGACCGGCUGGCUCAGAGACAGCUGUGACUGUCUAACUGUGGCCCAGGUCAGAUCCUGGCCCGGAUCACAUGCUGCUUAACCCACGUCCAUGUCAGACCGCUAAUCAGUGACCAAUGUAAACGGACCUCUCAAAGCUAUCUUGGACGAGGCACCGUACCCCGUCUUGUGGAUUGAAAAGAGAUAGAGAGAGUGUGUGUGUGUUUCUGUGUAUGUGUGUGUGUGUGUGUGUGUGUGUGUGUUGGAGGGAAAGCGCUUCAGUGGCAGUGGACACUGACAGAAGUGGUCAUUCCUUGACAUUCCUGCUGGGUUAUGGUGGGGACAUGUAUUACGGUUGGGGCAGGUAUCCUGCUGAGUUAUGGUGGGGACCUGUAUUACGGUUAUGGUGGGGACAGGUAUUACGGUUGGGGCAGGUAUGUUGCUGGGUUAUGGUGGGGACCUGUAUUACGGUUGGGGCAGGUAUCCUGCUGGGUUAUGGUGGGGAUCUGUAUUACGGUUGGGGCAGGUAUCCUGCUGGGUUAUGGUGGGGACCUGUAUUACGGUUGGGGCAGGUAUCCUGCUGAGUUAUGGUGGGGAUCUGUAUUACGGUUGGGGCAGGUAUCCUGCUGGGUUAUGGUGGGGACCUGUAUUACGGUUGGGGCAGGUAUCCUGCUGGGUUAUGGUGGGGACCUGUAUUACGGUUGGGGCAGGUAUCCUGUUGCAGCAGCCCACCCUACUUCUGCCCUUUCCAGAGCACCUCCUCCCAGCAAACCUGUUGCCUAACCAGAGUCCCCCAGACUGGACUGAACGUGCACUUCUUGUACUGUCCCGCCUGUUCUGUAUGGACAUGCAGAUAUGGUACUGUAGCCACACACUGGGGCUGUUCGACAGUACGUAUCAGACGACAGCAAUUUAUCAUUGCAUUAAGACAUCUAAGCGCAGCUUACAUAAAUUCCUGAGUGUCCCAUUUGAGGGAAAUAGCCUUAUUCACCCGAACCCGCCAUCAUGUCUCUUUGCCUGGUGUAGACUACAGACAGCACCAUAGACAGUACAACGUUCAGCUAAGUGGAGUAACAUCAUUGCUUUGAUCCAGUAGUAAUGACAUGAAUGCUGUCCUUUUAAGAAUGUAGUGCAUUAUUUUGGGGUCACCUUGGACUCCAGUCUAUCGGUGUAAUCUGGUUUGUCUGAUACUGGCCCUCUACCUCCUCCACCAUCUCUCCAGCUGACAUAUCUAUUGGUCCUUUGACAGCCCCUCAGACCCACUGUAAUCUAGUCACAGGCUUCUCCUUCAGUCAGCUGUUGUUGCUGGGAUGAAUGGCGACUCGCCUUUACAAAGUGUAUAGGAGUUAAGUGUGUCUCAAUGUCAAAGUGCAGCUGGAAAACUGGAUAGAAGGGGGGAUGAGUGUUGAUUCAUGUGGUCUAAAUAACAUGCAGCUUUAAGAGGCUGGUGCUGACAUUGUUGCAUCGAGAAUGAUGGAUGGUCAGUAGUAUUCUUAGGCACUGGAUAAAAUCAAAGCAACUGUUCAUCAUAAUCAAACAAAUUCUCAAAAUAGGUGUUAUAUUAUUGCUGUAGAAUUGUUAUAUAAUUCAGUAUGUACCAUAAGGCUUUUGGUGCAGUCAGUGUUUGCUGAGAGAGACAGUGAGUAUAUUUAUAGAAGGUUGGAAAGCAGGGCCUAUCUACUUGUCAGUGCUUUUAAAAUUGUGCAUCUUUUUAAAUUGUUGCUGUAUUUAUUUUUUAUUGGAGUUAGAUGGUACCGUAUGGAUGGUGUAUUUUUAUUUCCCUAUGUUUGUUUUUUGUGUUUUAAAUUAGGUUUUGUUUGUGAUGCCUGUUUUGGCCAGUACACUCCUGAAAUAGAUUUGUAAUCUUUCCUGGAUAAAGGUUAAAUAAAAAUAAAUCCCAGCUUCAUUGUUUACCUGGCCCCACUAUCAAUGAUCCCAUUCAGUGUUUACCUGGCCCCUCUAUCAAUGAUCCCAUUCAGGGUUUUAC
ensembl:lncRNA